UGUCAAAACGACUCUCGGCAACGGAUAUCUCGGCUCUCGCAUCGAUGAAGAACGUAGCGAAAUGCGAUACUUGGUGUGAAUUGCAGAAUCCCGUGAACCAUCGAGUCUUUGAACGCAAGUUGCGCCCGAAGCCUUCGGGCCGAGGGCACGCCUGCCUGGGCGUCACGCAUCGCGUCGCC
rnacentral:rRNA from 4 species